rnacentral:rRNA from 1 species
CGGUGGAGCAUGUGGUUUAAUUCGAAGCAACGACGAAGAACCUUACCAGGCCUUGACAUGCAGAGAACUUUCCAGAGAUGGAUUGGUGCCUUCGGGAACUCUGACACAGGUGCUGCAUGGCUGUCGUCAGCUCGUGUCGUGAGAUGUUGGGUUAAGUCCCGUAACGAGCGCAACCCUUGUCCUUAGUUACCAGCACGUUAUGGUGGGCACUCUAAGGAGACUGCCGGUGACAAGCCGGAGGAAGGUGGGGGAUGACGUCAAGUCAUCAUGGCCCUUACGGCCUGGGCUACACACGUGCUACAAUGGUCGGUACAAAGGGUUGCCAAGCCGCGAGGUGGAGCUAAUCCCAUAAAACCGAUCGUAGUCCGGAUCGCAGUCUGCAACUCGACUGCGUGAAGUCGGAAUCGCUAGUAAUCGUGAAUCAGAAUGUCACGGUGAAUACGUUCCCGGGCCUU